CGCUUUAUUUUCUCUCGUUUCAUUUUCAUCAUCCAUUUCUCUCUCGUCUCGUUCACUGAACCGUACUAGUGUGCAUUGAUUUUUUUUCUUUUUCAUUUGAGAGAAACAAUCUAGAGCUAGGGUUUUGCUGGUGUUGUUUUUGAGGUUCGAUUGGGGAGCUAUGACGACGUCGUUUGGAACAGCAGCGGCGAGUACUACGGUGAUACAGAACGAUCCGAAGAUUCGGAUUGGUAGCUUCAGCGGUUUGCGAUCUUCGCCUUUGGUUGAUUUGAGCCAAGUUAAACGCGUUGUUUCGCUUCCGUCUGCGAGUUCCUCGCUUAUUAGAGCUGUUUCUACGGUCAGAUUCAUUUCCUUUCUGAUUUCUCUUUUAUUAAGUGUUUCUUCGGCGGGGAGUUGGGGCAGGGGGUUCAUUUACCUGUUCUUCCUUUAAUUAUUUUCAUAUAGUGUAUUCGAAAAGGGAACAAGAGUUUCUUCUGUUGGAUAAUCCCUUGAUUGGGCUAGAAGAAAUGCAAUCGUGCGGGAAAAUAGAAGAAAAAUGUUUUAUGUGGAAACUUUAAUCUUAAUUCUUAUCCAAUAACAGUAAUGUGUUCUGAGGCCUUUAUUUUUUACAUGGAAAUUCUGAAUUUACGUGAUGAAUUUUCUGGGACUUGUUAGCUUGAAUUUGAUUUUGUAUUUUUGCCAUUAAUGGAGAGUAUGGGAAUUCUGGUCGUUUUUGUUUCUUUAUUGUGAAAGGGCACAUGGCGUCUUUGAAGAACUUGAUUUUAUGGUUAUGUUGAUGUUAUGAUUAUUAAUUAUUCAUAAUAAAAGG
rnacentral:lncRNA from 1 species